rnacentral:misc_RNA from 1 species
GAUGAGAACGCAGCGAAAUGCGAUACUUGGUGUGAAUUGCAGAAUCCCGUGAACCAUCGAGUCUUUGAACGCAAGUUGCGCCCGAAGCCAUUAGGCCGAGGGCAUGCCUGCCUGGGCGUCACACGUCGUUGCCCCCCCAUCUACUCCUUCGGGAUUGCGGGGGGCGGAUGAUGGCCUCCCGUGCGCCUCGUCGCGCGGUUGGCAUAAAUGCCAAGUCCUCGGCGACGCACGCCACGACAAUCGGUGGUUGCGAAACCUCGGUUGCCCGUCGUGUGCGGUCGUCGCGCAUCGAGGGCUCGAAAAAAUUGCCGGGCUCCGGCUCGGCUUUCAACGCGACCCCAGGUCAGGCGGGGUUACCCGCUGAAUUUAAGCAUAUCAAUAAGCGGAGGA